rnacentral:rRNA from 2 species
AGAGUUUGAUCCUGGCUCAGAGCGAACGCUGGCGGCAGGCUUAACACAUGCAAGUCGAGCGGGCACCUUCGGGUGUCAGCGGCAGACGGGUGAGUAACACGUGGGAACGUGCCCAUCGGUUCGGAACAACCCAGGGAAACUUGGGCUAAUACCGGAUACGACCUUACGGUGAAAGAUUUAUCGCCGAUGGAUUGGCCCGCGUCUGAUUAGCUAGUUGGUGAGGUAACGGCUCACCAAGGCGACGAUCAGUAGCUGGUCUGAGAGGAUGAUCAGCCACACUGGGACUGAGACACGGCCCAGACUCCUACGGGAGGCAGCAGUGGGGAAUAUUGGACAAUGGGCGAAAGCCUGAUCCAGCCAUGCCGCGUGAGUGAUGAAGGCCUUAGGGUUGUAAAGCUCUUUCGGCGGGGACGAUAAUGACGGUACCCGCAAAAGAAGCCCCGGCUAACUUCGUGCCAGCAGCCGCGGUAAUACGAAGGGGGCUAGCGUUGCUCGGAAUCACUGGGCGUAAAGGGCGCGUAGGCGGCCGAUCAAGUCAGAGGUGAAAGCCCAAGGCUCAACCUUGGAAUUGCCUUUGAUACUGUUCGGCUCGAGACCGGAAGAGGUUAGUGGAACUGCGAGUGUAGAGGUGAAAUUCGUAGAUAUUCGCAAGAACACCAGUGGCGAAGGCGGCUAACUGGUCCGGUUCUGACGCUGAGGCGCGAAAGCGUGGGGAGCAAACAGGAUUAGAUACCCCCGUAGUCC